CAUUUAUGUAGCAAAAGUGCGUAUGACGCCAACACAUUAGCUUUCUUUUGCAAACCAUAUAACGAAACAUAUUUCACUGUCCGAUUUUCCAAAAGGCGAAAGGUUCCGCAAUUGCGUAUACAGUUUGUGACAACUUUCCGACAAUUUUCCAUACAGCUUCGACGGAUUUUCGACCAAAACGAAAGGGUGAAGGAGCCCGGAAAAUGCAGCGGUAGAAGUCUUUUUGAGCAGAAAGUGUACGAAGAGUCAUUUCCAAUAAGUGUAGAGGUGCAAUUUUCGUUGUGCUGCUUUUGGGACUGCGUGAUUUAAAGGAGAAACUUGUGCGGGCGACUGGCAAUCUGUGAAGAUUUAAUUUGUGAAUCUGGGGUUGAGUGCAUUACUGUGUGAAGUUCAGCGAAAAUUGAUUCCGGAAUGACGAAUCUUUUACAAAUCGAAGAAAGACUGAUAAGGAUAUCGUGCGUCGUACUUCACUUAGGAAGUGGCGUGGUGUGUGACUGCAGUUGGGUGUGUUAAACGUGUGAGUGUUGCUGUUUAUGCAAGAAAACGAUACAAAUUCAGUGACAAAAUGGAUAAUGAGCCGUAAACCACACCUUAGCAAUGGUAUUGUAGUUUCCGCAUUGUUCAAUGAAUGCGGAAUCGGUCGAAAUUAAAAUCACUUCUACAAUCAAUACUGUUAUUAAUACAAAAACAGUUGAACCUAGAAAAAAAGAUACACAGGAAGUACAUUGAGGUUUUUAUCAACCUCACUCGGGGGUCUUUUGAUGGUAGUUGCUGACGGAUGCUGGAUUUCAGGAAAGGGUAUUGUUUUUUGUGGUUUUUCCUUGUUUCCUCUUUAUCCAACGGAAAAGGCAUAAACCAUGGCCGAUGAAUUCCAGUUCUUUCAGAUGUACCGGAAAGAUCAGAGCGUGCGUAGAAUAAACGGCGCUUUAUUUAUACUAUGCUAAAAAUAGUGCGUUGUUUAUCUAAGAUUAUUAUAUUUACAACAAUCAAAAUUCUGACGAAUGGUUCUACCCCGUUUGCCAGUUUUAAUUUUGUAAAGAGUUCAGUUCAUGUCGGCGCGCAACAUUCUAUAAAGGGGGGUGCAUAGAAAAAUCUGUAGGUAUAGGAUAUAUCUGUAGGCUUGAGCAUAGUCAAAGCAUUUGUAUAAAAAAAAAUAAGAUGUAUGAUUUGGAUUAUGAUGAUGUGGAGCAGAUAUAAUUGAUGAUGUGACCAUAAUAGUAGUAGUGGAAUGAGAUGCUGAUCUGUUAAGGCACCUUAGGGUAGAAUACUGCAAACAAAAAAGACAUGGAUGUCGGUCGUAGCUUGGAGCUGGAUCGUUUGAGAAAUAUUAUUCGAUUAUUUUUCCAGGCAAGGUCAGGCUUCCCUGUAUGCCCAAGGGAUGUAUUUAAUGGAGAAAAUGCGCCCCCCA